GUUAAAAGUAAUCUGAAGAAACAGACCUCCCCUCCUUGUGCACGACCAGCAGAGCCGGCAGACUGUAUCAUCCCAGGAUCCAGGUUGAGGUGGUUGCCAUCAUGUCUGUCUUCGUCUGUGGCCCCAUCACUCCAUCUCUGUGGACUCUGUCAUAAGAAUACCUCAGACUUCAUGAAUUGGCCUGCAAACUGCUUGGUUAAUACUCCCCAAAGCUGCAUAUGCCAUAUCCUAGCUACCUGCUUCUGAGUAGAUACUGAAUAGAAAUGAACACACUUUUGGAGCAGAACUUGGAGCGCCAAAGCCGUGUAUGCGAUCGCAUACAGCUGAGAGUUUAAUGAGAUGACGCUACACAGUGGACUAUUAUACAGCAAGGAAGAUGGAAAGACUUCAGCUAUGUCCUAUUCAAGGCAGAGCUUCAAAUCUGCCAUGUUGACUUAGCAGAAGUCAGACUCAAAGUUCGUCCAAUAGAAUUUCAUGCACGUAACAUUCAAGUACCGGAGUGGCUGAUUUCUGGUAUUCGUUGGGCCACGUGAUCGCACGGAAGCACAGAGGCUUCUUGAGUGCUUGUGUUGCUGG
rnacentral:lncRNA from 1 species